UAAAUGGGUCUAAAUGCCUGCAAGGCACCAGAUCCUGUCUGAUCUUGGAAGCUAAGUAGGAUCAGCUCUGGUAACUACAUGGACGAGAGACUGCCAAUGAAUCCUAAGUGCUGAUGGAU
rnacentral:rRNA from 11 species